rnacentral:rRNA from 1 species
UACGUAGGGGGCAAGCGUUGUCCGGAAUCAUUGGGCGUAAAGCGCGCGUAGGCGGCCCUGUAAGUCCGCUGUAAAAGUCAAAGGCUCAACCUUUGAAAGCCGGUGGAUACUGCAGGGCUAGAGUCCGGAAGAGGAGAGUGGAAUUCCUGGUGUAGCGGUGAAAUGCGCAGAUAUCAGGAGGAACACCCGUGGCGAAAGCGGCUCUCUGGGACGGUACUGACGCUGAGACGCGAAAGCGUGGGGAGCAAACAGG